rnacentral:piRNA from 1 species
UACAUAGCCUCACUAUGCCUAACGUUGUAAC